AUUGAACGCUGGCGGCAGGCCUAACACAUGCAAGUCGACCGGAUGAGUGGAGCUUGCUCCAUGAUUCAGCGGCGGACGGGUGAGUAAUGCCUAGGAAUCUGCCUGGUAGUGGGGGACAACGUUUCGAAAGGAACGCUAAUACCGCAUACGUCCUACAGGAGAAAGUGGGGGAUCUUCGGACCUCACGCUAUCAGAUGAGCCUAGGUCGGAUUAGCUAGUUGGUGAGGUAAAGGCUCACCAAGGCGACGAUCCGUAACUGGUCUGAGAGGAUGAUCAGUCACACUGGAACUGAGACACGGUCCAGACUCCUACGGGAGGCAGCAGUGGGGAAUAUUGGACAAUGGGCGAAAGCCUGAUCCAGCCAUGCCGCGUGUGUGAAGAAGGUCUUCGGAUUGUAAAGCACUUCAAGUUGGGAGGAAGGGCAGCAAGUUAAUACCUUGCUGUUUUGACGUUACCAACAGAAUAAGCACCGGCUAGCUUCGUGCCAGCCGCCGCCGUAAAAC
rnacentral:rRNA from 1 species